rnacentral:lncRNA from 1 species
GAGAAAUGGACUUUUUAAAGUAGGUCCUAUCUCUCAAGUAUCACAAAGUAAAGCUGUGCUAUAAAAAUUUUGUUUUGCCUAUGGAAUCCUUAAGCUUCACAAGUAUUUAUAUUGUCCUAAAGACAGUGUUUGCUAAUCUUCAAAAGAAGGUUUUUUUCUUUUUCUUUUUUUUAAAAAGGCUUCCAUAUUUUCUGCAUAAGACAAUAUAAAGCACUUUUUAAAAUGAUACAAUAAUUGUGAAAUUUUAGAGUCUGAGAGGUUAAUGAUUUGGGUUUUACUUGUCAAAAUUUACUGUUUAUCUACAGUUUUUCUUUUAACUUUUCAGUAUAAAAACAAAAUGACUUUAUAGCUAAGUACCUCAGAAGUUGGCAGCCUUAUUUGCUGAGUAUUAAUGAACUUGAAUCUGCCCUAAUUAAGAAGAUUGCAUUUUGGUGUUUGCAGUGUGGAAACUGAGCAGAUGACCACAUUUCUCA